rnacentral:rRNA from 1 species
CCUACGGGAGGCAGCAGUGGGGAAUAUUGCGCAAUGGGCGAAAGCCUGACGCAGCGACGCCGCGUGAGGGAUGAAGGUCUUCGGAUCGUAAACCUCUGUCAGCAGGGAAGAACGGUCACUGUGCUAAUCAGCAGUGAAUUGACGGUACCUGCAAAGGUAGCACCGGCUAACUCCGUGCCAGCAGCCGCGGUAAUACGGAGGGUGCGAGCGUUAAUCGGAAUUACUGGGCGUAAAGCGCUCGUAGGCGGUAUGUCAAGUCAAGGGUGAAAUCCCCGGGCUCAACGGGGGAACUGCCUUUGAAACUGGCAAACUGGAGUGUGUGAGAGGAUAGUGGAAGUCCAGGUGUAGGAGUGAAAUGCGUAGAUAUCUGGAGGAACAUCAGUGGCGAAGGCGACUAUCUGGCACAUAACUGACGCUGAGGAGCGAAAGCGUGGGUAGCAAACAGGAUUAGAUACCCUAGUAGUC